UCCGCCUUCUUCCUCCCCCGAUCCCCUCUCCGCUUUCUUCCUCCCCGAUCCCCUCCACCUUCUUCCUCUCGGCUCUCCUUCCACGGCCAAAACUACCACAGCCCCGCCCUCUAGAGGCUCGCGUGCCAUAGCCAGAGCGCUGGGCCGGCCGCCACCAGCCCUCCCAGCGCCUACCAACCACCAGAUCCAAGCAUUGCCGCCGCGCUCCAACGCCCCACCUUUCUUCCGCACAACCACCCACCUCCCGGCGCCCCAACACCCCCACUGCUCCGACGCGCCACCACCCCACGCCGCCUAGCCCCGGCCACCACCACGAGCCACACUCGUCGGCCGCCCGCCCCAACCAGCACGCCACUGCGCACCCAAAUUGACGGCUACCCCGCGUCAACCAGUGAGCCGCCGCGCACCACCGUCGGCUGCCGCCCACCCCAUCCAUCACGCCGCCUCGGCCGCAUCCAUCGGGCGCCGAAUCCCGCACCAGCAAGCGGAUGAGCCGCCUCCCCCGCAUCAGUCCAUCCGGAUCCGGUUGGGCUGCCCCCGCGCCCACCUUCCCUUCGCCUCCCUCUCGAGGACCCCUCCCCCUUCUUCUACUCCGUCGGCGAAGAAAAGCUACGGCCACCUCCCCCAAGCGGCCACUGAGGUGCUCCUCCACCCGGCUCCUCCCUGCGACCUCUUGCUGCGUCGCGGCGGCCGGAUCCACCCUACCGGAUCCAGUCAGCGACCUUCCUUCUCCACUUCAUCGACCUGCAGGAGGUUGAGAUGUUGCCCGUCGGCGAGCAGGGUGUCGCCCCACUCCGGGCCUGCUGAGGUUGAGCGGAUCCAAGCUGCUCCUCCCCUUCAUCGUCUCUAAUGUUCAGGUACAGAUUGCGCGUGUGUGUGGUAUGUCGGGCAUGAGGGCGACGACGUGCAACGAUGAUUUGCAGUCCACCAGCACACCAUGCAGUUCACACGGUGCAUGCUUGCAAAUUGGAGUUAGGUGCACGCGGGCAUUCAGUUAAAUUGGUGCGCGAUUGCAGUUCGGUGGCGCGGGCAGAUUUUUUUCCUUUUAUUAGUUCCUUCAGCUAGUAGAGCGUCGUCCUUUAGUUUAGAAUUUUUUUCAGGUUUUGCUGAUGCAGUGCGGUGUGCAAAUUCAACUAUGUGCAUGCUACCGUCAACGAGCCUCCAGAAGCAGUUCUUUGCUCAACUUGUUACGGUUCCCUGGUGGCGGGAGAGAAGUGCACUGCUCUAGGGUGCUCUCGUUCACGGGGAGAAGUGGUCAUCCGCUGUGGUGUAGCUAAAAAACGUGUGCCAGGCGGUUCGAUGCUCUGGUCAAACAUGAACAAGUUCAAUACGUAGUGCAAAAGAGUGCACUUCAGAAGAAGUUUUUUUCGUUUUCAUAAGAAUUUAAUGUGUGCAGGUACACCACAGUGCACAGCCCAUUUGGGUUCAGUUCACUAGUUGAAAAAAAUUGAAUAAUUAAAAUUAGUUCACCGUCCUUCAUUUUUAGUGUUGCAGUGCACUGUAAAAAAGCGUGGUGUUUUGAUCUGUACAAAACGUUCCAUUUUAAAAUAAAAAAUAAAUUAGUCAGUUCACUCCGUCUGCCACGGUGAUUUACGAAAACAAAUUUGAAAAAAGAACAGUGCAGUACACUUGUCCUAGGGCUGCAGUGUAGACAUGCUACACGCACACGUGCAGUAUGCUAGUGCCGCCUCUGCAAUGACACUCCGAUCUUAAAAAAAAUCCGCUCUGAAGGACUCUGCAAUCUACUCUCUUAGUCUGUACGGUCCACUCGCCUGGCCUAUGCGCGUACAAAAGUGUGAAAAAAGACAACAAAAAUUCAUGUGGUUCACUUUUGAUAGUGUCGCGGCUCACUUUCGAUACUAUCGUGGUUCACUUACGCCCAACGUGAAGUGUAGUCAACUUCCUCACGUGAGAAAAAUUAUGCCUAACAAAGAGAAACUAUGCAGUUCUCUUCACUGUUUGAUGCAGUGUAGUUUUCAGUCUGGAGCAGUGCGUUCUUCUGUCUGAUGCAGUACACACGCCGAUUUUGGUGUCGAGAAAAACAGAGUGUCCGCAUUUUGUUAAAAUUAAAAUUGCUCUGAAACCGUAAGGAAUCAGAUAGAGUGUUCUACAUGAAAAAGUUGCGGCUCAUCGAUAUCUUUCCAACGGCGUAUAAUUUGAAUCAUUCCGACCAGCGGUUUGUAAAAAUUUCACGAAAAUGGCCACUGCCUCUUGUCGUCAGCCGCAUGAUUUUAAAAA